AAAUGCGAUAAGUAAUGUGAAUUGCAGAAUUCAGUGAAUCAUCGAAUCUUUGAACGCACAUUGCGCCCGCCAGUAUUCUGGCGGGCAUGCCUGUUCGAGCGUCAUUUCAACCAUCAAGCCCCCGGCUUGUGUUGGGGACCUGCGGCUGCCCACAGGCCCUGAAAAACAGUGGCGGGCUCGCUGUCACACCGAGCGUAGUAGCAUACAUUCUCGCUCAGGGCGUGCUGCGGGUUCCGGCCGUUAAACGACCUUCAUAACCCAAGGUUGACCUCGGAUCAGGUAGGAAGACCCGCUGAACUUAAGC
rnacentral:misc_RNA from 1 species